CCUACGGGAGGCAGCAGUGAGGAAUAUUGGUCAAUGGGAGAGAUCCUGAACCAGCCAAGCCGCGUGAGGGAAGACGGCCCUAUGGGUUGUAAACCUCUUUUGUCGGAGAACAAAACCCGGGACGUGUCCCGGACUGCGUGUAUCCGAAGAAAAAGCAUCGGCAAACUCCGUGCCAGCAGCCGCGGUAAUACGGAGGAUGCGAGGGUUAUCCGGAUUUAUUGGGUUUAAGGGGUGCGUAGGCGGUCCGUUAAGUCAGCGGUAAAAUUGCGGGGCUCAACCCCGUCGCGCCGUUGAAACUGGCAGACUUGAGUGGGCGAGAGGUACGCGGAAUGCGCGGUGUAGCGGUGAAAUGCAUAGAUAUCGCGCAGAACUCCGAUUGCGAAGGCAGCGUACCGGCGCCAGACUGACGCUGAGGCACGAAAGCGUGGGGAGCGAACAGGAUUAGAUACCCCUGUAGUC
rnacentral:rRNA from 1 species